rnacentral:lncRNA from 1 species
UCUUCUUCCUCUCUACCGUGCGACUCCUCCAUCUCCAUCUUCUUCAUCUUCUUCUUCGGACGCCAGCCACAAGGAAGAUCGACCAGCAAGCUGUCGGACCUCACGCCUCCACCGUCGGCCACCCGCUCGCCGUCGCUCAGCCCCGCGAGCACCUCCGCCUCCCUCUCUCUCUUGCUGUCUUCUUCUUCCCUAGUUGUUGCUUGAACCCGCGGGCAGAUCUGAGAUCGCUUAAGCAGCAGCCAGUCCACGCCGCCAGUCGGAGCUCCUCGCCGUCGCAGCUCGCCGCCGUCGACCUCCGCCCUAGCCCGCCGGGAGCUUCGCCUUGCCUUGGCCGCCCGAACCGGCGCCGGAUCCGCCCCAUCUCGGCCCCGAUCAGUAACCCAGAAAAUGGGUAUGGUAGCCCCUUCGUGGGCCGUUUUGGCCGCCUUCCCGAGCCCGGAUGCUUGGCCCGCUUUGAGGAAAGUCGAUCCUCGCGUCGUCCCAGUCGUUUUGGUCCGCUCGGCUCGCUAAUCCGGUGAGUUUAACUCACUAAACCUCGCUUAGAGGGUUAAUUAUGCUUUAGGUGUGCUUAGUUUAUGUUAAGUGUGAUUAGGUGGUCAGUUUGAUUUAUUUAAGUGUGGAUUAUAUUAAUGUGUUUAAUUAGCUUAAAUUGUGUUUAAUUUAAAGUUAAAUGGGUGUUUAUAUUAAUAUAAACUUUGAUGUGACAUAAAGGAAUUUACUUUUGAUUUAUUUAAAUAUCUCAAAAUUAUUGAAUAAUUAAAUAAUAUUUUAAUAUUCGAAAUUAUUAAAAUAUUAUUAUUUAAUUAUUUUCGGAAUAAAUUAAAUUAUUUAUUAAAUUCCGAAAAUUUUGUCGAGACCUUAAAUUCUCAGAAUUUCGUGCCGGUCGUUGCUGUGUAGUCGGAUUUGGAAAUUGAUGAUUGGAUAUUAUAAAUUGAGUGUGGAUCGUGAAAGACAUGUAUAUUAUUAUUUAAUUAAUUUUCGGAAUAAAUUUAAUUAUUUGAUAAAUUCUGAAAAUUAGUUUGGAACCUUAUUCUCUCAGAAUUUCGUGCUGAUCGCUGCUGUGUAUUUAGAAUUUGAAAUUGAUGAUUGGUUGUGAUGAAUUGAGUGUGAUUGUGAUUUAUAGGGAUUCUUUACGAUAUCCUAAGUGUAGAAAUUGAUGGGAGAUUGGUCGUGAUUAACCACCUAUUAGAGGUCGUGCCUAGUGAGGCCGUGAUUAACCACCGAUUGGAGGUCGUGCCUAGUGAGGCCGUGAUGAACCAUCUAUGAGAGGUCGUGCCUAAUAGGGCCGCGAUGAACCACCUAAGAGAGGUCGUGCCUAAUGGGGCCGUGAUUGACCACCUAUUAGAGGUCGUGCCCAGUGAGGCCGUGAUGGACCACCUAUGAGAGGUCGUGCCCAGUGAGGCCGGGAUGGACCACCUAUGUGAGGUCGUGCCCAGUGAGGCCGUGAUGGACCACCUAAUUAAAGGUCGUGCCGAGUGGGGCCGUGAUUGCCACUGGUUAUUAAGCCUUCCUAUAGGGUCGAGAUUGGAAGUAGUAAUUGAUUCACUAGAAUUGACAUGUAAUCGGCCAAGUCGAUUGAUCGCUGAGACGAUCCAAGUGGUUGAAUUGUUCUGAUGAUGUGAUUGUGCUGCAGUUGUUUGGCUAUCAUAAUUGCACGUGGUUGGUUUAUAUAAAUUGUGCUAACCUGCAGAUAAAGGCUGAGGCGAGGUAAGUCUUCUGUGUGAUGUGGCUAUGCCACCCGGGGCGUAUUUUCUUUCUAAUAGGGGUUUAGGGGGUUGAACUUGCCGAGACGUUGUCUCAGUGGUUAUUGAAUAACCAUUUCAGGUCCCUGGUGGACGGAGCGGCCAGAUAGCUUUGGUUGGCA